CGAAAAUCAACCGGAGAUGGUCCGCACGAUCGUGAGCCUUCUCCUUAUUAUUCAUAAUACAUAAUACGGACACGGUGGACAAUACAUAAUACAGAUACAGUACUGAUGAUGUAGCCAAUCAUGACUCAAGCUCCAUUUCAAGGUAGUGGUAGAGAAGUCUGAACUUAGUUGCAUCUUCGGUUACACAUGCACCGGCGUCGCACGCUGCUGCAGUCGCCACCACGGUAGCCCUCGCUUAUGCAAACUUGGGCGCAGUUGCUGCUGCUAAGGCACAGCCCAUGAAACCCUCUGCUUGGAACCUUUCCACAGAAAAUAGUUCGACCUCCUUCUGCUAUUUCCGGACCAGAAGCCAGCAGCAGGAGGAGAGCGAAGACGAAGGAGAAGAUGGAUGCUUUGUUGAACUCCAUGGCUG
rnacentral:misc_RNA from 1 species